CUGAGACCGGGCUCCGGAGCGGAGACCCGUCCGGGAGACCCGAAACGCCCCCACCUGGGGAACUUCUCCGCGGACUUGUGGGGCUCUCGGGACGCAGGAUCGCCCCAGCAGCGGCCUCGGCCCCGGGAGUUCUGCUGGGAGCGGGGAGGCCCUGGCGUCUCAGGUGAGUCCGCUGUUCCCUAGACCUGCGGGACACCCGGAGGCUGCACUCAUCCGGCGGGGCCUCUGAGGCCCAGCGGCCUCGCUCGCCUCCCUAGAGACAGUGGGCUCGCCAGCGUGCAGGGUCCCAGGGAGAAGAAACUGCUGGGAAGGCACCGGAUAGCCAACGACCAAGCCUGGCUGACGGGGGCUCAAGAGCUUGUACCCGAGAAGCCACGGCGCAGAGCCCAUCGCGGAGGCCGCAGCCCACCCUAAGAGGUGGGCUGGCUGUGCAGGUGAACCCAUAGGCCGUCCACUUAGCAUCAAUGUGAUCUUGGACAAAUGACUGUCCUGGCGGAGGGCAGGCGCUCCACCUGUAAAAUGGGGGAACUGUGGUAUCUACCCCGUGGGGCUGAUUUGAGGAUGAGGGCAGCUUUUGCUGUACAACAAGCUGUCCAUAAACGUUCGUUUUUAUGAGCCCAGGGCCUGCCACGUGGUAGGCGUUCACUAGAUCAUGUACACUCUUAAAAGCACCACUGAGCUAGGACCAGCAGUGGGAAAGUGAGUUGAAUCAUCCUCACCCCUGCUGCCUGGAGGAGCUUGGCAUCCUAUGGAUAAUUACCUGGAGCACCCUGGAGAUUUAUGGAAAUGUUCACACCAUGAGCAAGCAAUUAUGAAGGGUGAGGAUCGCUGCUAGAUCUCUCCUCUCAUCCCUCCCAGGAUCCACUGGUCCCGCUGGCCCACUUGCAGCUGCUUACUAUAUAGGAAGUGAAACAGAAAGCUCUAGAAGGCCUUGAGGUGGGAAGGAAGCUGCUUCUCUGAUGCUCAGUUCCAGGAGCCGUCUCUUGUCGCGCCGAGUCUGUGGCUUGGCAGCUGGAGGUGUGAGUCACCCCUAAUGGAGGUGGGAGAAUGGAGGUGUGGAGGAAGGCCCAAUCCAACAAACCACAUCCAUGUUCUCAAGAGCACCUGCCAACAGCCCCUCUUGGAACCUGGGGAUCAGCGUCCCACACAGCCUUCCCUUUGCUACACUAGAUACAGCUUCACCUCCCUGCCUGACACUGCCAAGCGGAGUCAGCUGCUUGGGCAGUCACUCCAGUCCUGCCCAUGCUGCAGAAGACAGGCACCGUGUGUCCCUCCUACAGAUGGAAUGGAUGCUCUUCAGCCGCUGCCAAUGGAGAGACAGGAGGCUCUCAUGCAAACUGGCAGCCGUAGAGGAGAACCUGCCACACCUGUUGGACAGAAACAGUACCCAGAACCCUCAGCCUGCCUCUGCCCGAUAUGGCCCUGGCUGCCUGGCCAACUGGCUUAUAGAAGAGGGACACUGGCCUGAGUCAAGGGGACCGGGUUGGAGGCAUUGUGUUGUCACCUGGCAGCAGUAUGUCUGGGCAACAUGUGUUAUCUCUCUUCUUCUUCCCCUCCUGGCCGGAUGCCCCUCAGAUUCAUCCUGGAUCUGGUGCUGUUCUUCUUUGAGUAUAUGGCCUGCUUCAAGAUAGUGUACACUGCACAUCAGCUAAGUAAUUAUAAAGCAGCUCGUGCCUCCCAAGACGGAGCCCCCGAAACACAGUGAUUUUGACAGGCAGAGAUAAGGGCGUUUCCAUAAUAAUGUGGUAGAUUAAGGGAUUCAGCCUGCUGAACUGAGGGGAGACUAAAAUGCAUCUGAAUUUUUAUUUGGAGAGAUCUGAAUUUAUUUUAUUAACAAGUCUGGUCCUCUGGGGCCAAACUUUCCAUUUGUCAUGGAAGUGCCCGGCAAAAUCUUGACUCCAAUGUUGUAGAAAGACCAGCUUCCCAAAAUGAACAUUCUAAAUCAAAUCGCCUCCUGUGAGUUUCCUAUUGAUUUACACGGUGACAGGAUUAGCUCAAUCACAGGAGUACUGGCCCUUUUCAUUGUGAUAGGAUCUGUAAUAAAACUUGGCUAGUCGUCCUGCAGGGAGGGGAUUUAUUACUCAGGCUCCAGCUCUCCACAUGGCCCCCGAGGUCUACACCACUCUGUGGGGAGGAAGGGGGGUGCUGAUUCUGUAAAUUGAGGUCUUUGUGCCUCAAGAGAGACAGGAUAUGGACCAGAAAGGUGAUUGGAGCCUGGUCAUAUUUUGGAAGUUUGUGUUUUUUUUUUUUUUUUUUUUUUUUUUUUUGAGACAGAGUCUUGCUCUGUCGCCAGGCUGGAGUGCGGUGGCACUUUCUCAACUCACUGCAACCUCUGCCUCCCAGGUUCAAGCAGUUUUCCUGCCUCAGCCUCCUGAGUAGCUGGGACUACAGGUGCUCACCACCAUGCCCGGCUAAUUUUUGUAUUUUUAGUAGAGAUGGGCUUUCCCCAUGUUGGCUAGGAUGGACUCAAUCUCUUGACCUCAUGAUCCACCCAUUUCAGCCUCCCAAAGUGCUGGGAUUACAGGCUUGAACCACUGAGAGCCCAGCCAGUUUUGUGAUAUUUAUGCUAACAUCUUCUCAAAUCAGAAAAGAGAAGACCUUGAAUAAUGUCUUCUCAUGCCCACCACUGAUCCCUUUACAGCGAGCAUGGGAUUGUCCAGCCAGAGCCUGGGAAUACCUAUGCAGCCAAGAACACGGCACAGCAGGAGCCUCUGCACAGCCUUCUAGAGUGUAAUAAGAGACUUUGAUGCAGAAAUUGCCUCUGUGUAGGGAAUAGACACUUGACUGAACAAUUGCAUUGUUGGCAAUACGCUAGGUUCAGCAGGCCAGAGUGGCAUCCCUUGAAAAACGUGAUGGACAUCACCUUCCAGAUACCAGAGAUGAGCGUGGACUCAAAGCCCAGCUUUGUUACCUACUCGUGUGCAGCCUCAGGAAAGUUGUUUCAGUUUGCUCUGCUGAAAGUCGUAGUAGUGCUGCUGUUACUGCAUGCAGAGGUGUUGUGAGGGCGACAGGAGCUGUAUGUGCAGAGCCUGGCACCAAGCAAGCACUCCAUAAAUAGUGGCAACAGUGACCGCUGCUGACCAGGAGCUCCCCAGUGGGAUAGAGUAGUUAGGGCUGAAUACUCUGGCCUUCUCUGGAUGAGGGUUCGCUGUCCUCAUCUCUGCCUGGGUGCACACUUUCUCACGUUUUAACAUCCCCAAAUCAAGAAACAUCUCACGAUUGGUGUUUUGCAAUCACUACUGUCCUGGGCUGAAUUUGAGAUCUUCCAGAGAGGGUUUGUAUUUGCUUCUGCCUAGUGGUCUGGGGACUCGGCUCCUGAAAUGCCUUGGGCAUCUGCUGAGUAUUGUAACCCCAGAGUGAGAACCAGCUUAUGGUUCUAAUGAUCAGUGCAAGGCAUGUCUCCCUAUUUCUCUCUCCCCUCACCAGGGCCAAGACAGAGACCUGAAGAUUUCCUUGCUGUUCCUCUCCAUGGUGGGUUUAUUUCUCAUUUCUCCGGUACUGACAGUGGAGCCUUUUUUUUUUUUUUGAGAUGUAGUUUCACUCUUUUCACCCAGGCUGGAGUGCAAUGGUGCAGUCUCACUCACUGCAACCUCUACCUCCCGGGUUCGAGCAAUUCUCUUGUCUCAGUCUCCCGAGUAGUUGGGAUUACAAGUGUCCGCCACCAUGCCCAGCUAAUUUUCAUGUUAUUAGUAGAGACAGGAUUUCACCCUGUUGGCCAGGCUGGUCUUGAACUCCUGACCUCAGGUGAUCUGCCAGUUUCAGCCUCCCAAAGUGCUGGGAUUACAGGCAUGAGCCACCACGCCCAGCCGGCAGUAGAGCCUUUCAUUGUUCAUCUUUAGAGAGGCACCUCCGGUGAGACUUUCCAUCUUGGACAUUUUUUUUUCCCUAGAAAUACAUUAAAUAAUGACACCUCUUUCAGUUGAGGGUGUCUCUUAGAUUUGAUGACAUAUGAUAUGAAUGCCUUUGAGACAUAUUGCAGUAAAGAAAGCUAUUGAAUUCUUCCAGA